CUACGGGAGGCAGCAGUGGGGGAUAUUGCACAAUGGAGGAAACUCUGAUGCAGCAACGCCGCGUGAGGGAAGAAGGUCUUCGGAUUGUAAACCUCUGUUUUUGGUGACGAAACAAAUGACGGUAGCCAAAGAGGAAGCCACGGCUAACUACGUGCCAGCAGCCGCGGUAAUACGUAGGUGGCAAGCGUUGUCCGGAUUUACUGGGUGUAAAGGGUGCGCAGGCGGGACUGCAAGUUGGAUGUGAAAUACCGAAGCUUAACUUCGGGGCUGCAUCCAAAACUGUGGUUCUUGAGUGGAGUAGAGGUAAGCGGAAUUCCGAGUGUAGCGGUGAAAUGCGUAGAUAUUCGGAGGAACACCAGUGGCGAAGGCGGCUUACUGGGCUCUAACUGACGCUGAGGCACGAAAGCAUGGGUAGCAAACAGGAUUAGAUACCCUCGUAGUC
rnacentral:rRNA from 1 species